GUUCAACCCCGGGGUUGAAAUUUCAGCCCCGGGGUUGAAAUUUCAGCCAAGCAGGGUUGAAAUUUCAACCCCGGGGUUGAAC